UGCUGGGCGGAUUAGUGGCGAACGGGUGAGUAACACGUGAGUAACCUGCCCUUGACUCUGGGAUAAGCCCGGGAAACUGGGUCUAAUACCGGAUAGGAGCGCCUGUCGCAUGACGGGUGCUGGAAAGAUCUUUCGGUCAUGGAUGGACUCGCGGCCUAUCAGCUUGUUGGUGAGGUAACGGCUCACCAAGGCGACGACGGGUAGCCGGCCUGAGAGGGUGACCGGCCACACUGGGACUGAGACACGGCCCAGACUCCUACGGGAGGCAGCAGUGGGGAAUAUUGCACAAUGGGCGAAAGCCUGAUGCAGCGACGCCGCGUGAGGGAUGACGGCCUUCGGGUUGUAAACUUCUUUCAGCAGGGAAGAAGCGAAAGUGACGGUACCUGCAGAAGAAGCACCGGCUAACUACGUGCCAGCAGCCGCGGUAAUACGUAGGGUGCGAGCGUUAUCCGGAAUUAUUGGGCGUAAAGAGCUCGUAGGCGGUUUGUCACGUCUGUCGUGAAAGUCCGGGGCUUAACCCCGGAUCUGCGGUGGGUACGGGCAGACUAGAGUGCAGUAGGGGAGACUGGAAUUCCUGGUGUAGCGGUGGAAUGCGCAGAUAUCAGGAGGAACACCGAUGGCGAAGGCAGGUCUCUGGGCUGUAACUGACGCUGAGGAGCGAAAGCAUGGGGAGCGAACAGGAUUAGAUACCCUGGUAGUCCAUGCCGUAAACGUUGGGCACUAGGUGUGGGGACCAUUCCACGGUUUCCGCGCCGCAGCUAACGCAUUAAGUGCCCCGCCUGGGGGAGUACGGCCGCAAGGCUAAAACUCAAAGGAAUUGACGGGGGGCCCGCACAAGCGGCGGAGCAUGCGGAUUAAUUCGAUGCAACGCGAAGAACCUUACCAAGGCUUGACAUGUUUUCGACCGCCGUGGAGACACGGUUUCCCCUUUGGGGCGGAUUCACAGGUGGUGCAUGGUUGUCGUCAGCUCGUGUCGUGAGAUGUUGGGUUAAGUCCCGCAACGAGCGCAACCCUCGUUCCAUGUUGCCAGCACGUAAUGGUGGGGACUCAUGGGAGACUGCCGGGGUCAACUCGGAGGAAGGUGAGGACGACGUCAAAUCAUCAUGCCCCUUAUGUCUUGGGCUUCACGCAUGCUACAAUGGCCGGUACAAUGGGUUGCGAUACUGUGAGGUGGAGCUAAUCCCAAAAAGCCGGUCUCAGUUCGGAUUGGGGUCUGCAACUCGACCCCAUGAAGUCGGAGUCGCUAGUAAUCGCAGAUCAGCAACGCUGCGGUGAAUACGUUCCCGGGCCUUGUACACACCGCCCGUCAAGUCACGAAAGUCGGUAACACCCGAAGCCGGUGGCCUAACC
rnacentral:rRNA from 1 species